rnacentral:rRNA from 1 species
AGCGAACGCUGGCGGCAGGCCUAACACAUGCAAGUCGAACGAACCUUUCGGGGUUAGUGGCGGACGGGUGAGUAACACGUGGGAACGUGCCUUUAGGUUCGGAAUAACUCAGGGAAACUUGUGCUAAUACCGAAUGUGCCCUUCGGGGGAAAGAUUUAUCGCAUGUAGAGCGGCCCGCGUCUGAUUAGCUAGUUGGUUGAGGUAAUGGCUCACCAAGGCGACGAUCAGUAGCUGGUCUGAGAGGAUGAUCAGCCACAUUGGGACUGAGACACGGCCCAAACUCCUACGGGAGGCAGCAGUGGGGAAUCUUGCGCAAUGGGCGAAAGCCUGACGCAGCCAUGCCGCGUGAAUGAUGAAGGUCUUAGGAUUGUAAAAUUCUUUCACCGGGGACGAUAAUGACGGUACCCGGAGAAGAAGCCCCGGCUAACUUCGUG